AAAUCUCGUCGGCAUAUGUGCAAAUGGGAUAUGUUGCCUCUUCGAAAUUUUCAUAGAAAUUAAAACUGCGCUGUCAAACUGCUGAAGUGACAGCUUAUUGCUUACAACAAAUGGCAAACUAAUUAGUUUACCAUAUAUUGUAAGCAAUAAGCAAUAUGGAGUCUCCACAGGCAAUAGGCACGGCAAUACAGUUAGUAAGACAUAGAUUUUAUCCUGUCGAGAUGCCCCGUAAAGACAUAUUACGUUGUUAAAUUGUUGAGGAAGGUAACCGUGCGAUUCUGUAACUUGAGACAGUCUCAAGUCUCUAAAUUUGAGAUUUUAAGUUAGAGACAAUUUUUGAGACUUGAGAUGAUAUUGCUAUUCUGUAAGUGACAGUCACAAAAUCUAUUACAUUUCAUUAAUCAGAGAUGUUUUUACACUUGAAUCAAAAUAAAUAUGCCGAUAACAAAUAUUAAAUUUCCUAUAACAUAGUCAAAAAACAUAAUUAUCAAUAAAAAUAAAAAUAUAUGUUGACUUUGUUUCAUAAUAUUUACGAAAAUUAUGUAAAAUUGAUUUAUUUUUCAUCUUUUCGUGUUUGAGUUGCUUACAAAAUAUAAAGAAACGACAAUCAAUUAAUAUCUAUGAUGAUCUCUAUUCAGUAUAUUCAAAAUGGCAGACAAGAGCUCUUUUUAGUUUGUGACUUGCUAACUACCAGGUCUCAAUAUUUUGAGAUUAACGCUAGAGACUGUUUAGUGAAUAGUAACUAGUCUCAAAUUGAGACUUUGUCUCAAAAUGCCUCAAAUAGAGACUAGAGACUGGUUACAGAAUCCCGCUAUAAGUUUUAAAUAGAUUUUAUAACUUCUAUUUAAAUUAUAAAGAUUUGUUACAGUUUUUUUUUGUUAAAAAUGUAUGCAGAAGGUGCGCCAAUUCACAAUAGCCAUGCAUAAUAGUCAUUCACAAUAAAUUGACCGAAUCAGCCGUUCAUAUAUCACUAGAUUCUGCAAUGGGUGUUUUUGGUAAACAAAUGAGAUUCAAACGAGUGUAAAAUGUAAUUUUUAAAAUAAAGAUUUUUUAGGUAAAAAACCUGCUAAAAGAGUAAAAUGUGGAUUUAAUUAAAAGAUUAUAGUAUAAUUUAAUUAAUUUGAAGAGAAAAACGUUAAUAAUGUGUGUUUAAUGUGAAAAUGUUCGAAUUUUGCGAAUUUUUGAACGUUAAGGUCGAAUAUCUCGUAAACUAACCGCUUGCGGUACCUAUAACCCCAUAUAUUUUUUUAAUCAGGAGGACUUCCUCUUUCCAACGGUACCUUCAAAUCGCGGCGUCAAAGAAAUCGGAAUUGUGCCAAAACCCUAUUGGGACAUCCCCUUUCGUUCACACAUCGCGUGUGCAUACAUACAAACGUGUUUUUAAUUUGGAAAAUUACAGCCCUAUUCUGAAAAAAACCUCUCAACUUAGUUCAGAGGAAAAAUUUGAGAGAUUUCUUGUGAGGCAUAUUUUGUGAAGCUAUUCUUGUUCAAAUCUCAUUAGAAUAAAGCUUAAAAAAGUCACCACGUGAGGUAAAAAGUUUUUUCAAUAAAAAUAAGCAAACAAAAUGGAUAAUCAAGAUAUGUAAGUAAUUUUGCUUUGCAAAUUUUAAAAUGUAACUCAACCUCAAGGGCUGCAAAUACUUUGGUCGGAGUUAGCAGAUACCUUAAAUGCCUUAAGAGGUCCAACUCGGUCGGCAGCCAAGUGGAGGGAGUCCUUGAUGCAUUGGAAACAUCAGUUGCGAUCGCGAGCACGCAAACUUAAGGCACAUGCGCAAGCGACUGGUGGAGGCCCUCCGAUAAAAGGAAUAACGGAGUUCGAGGAGCAAGCCAUUACAACCUUUGGUGCAGCAGCGGUGGAUAGAUUGCGGGGUGUUGGGGCUUUGGGUCACCAGAUUUUGCCGCAGUUGCAUUUAAAUACAUAACCAGUCCCCGCUCAAGCUCCAGCUUCCUCCCCAACAGUCACAUCGCUUGCUCCAACUUCCUCACCAACAGUCACAUCACCUGCUCCAGCUUUUCCUGCUUUCUCAAUAAAUUUUUCUUCCUCACCAUCACCUCCAGAUUUGUCCUCUUCUUCCUUAUCUCCUCCCAUCUUACCUUCUCCUAUGCCAUCGCCUUCUUACAUCCCUUCUAAAGGUAUAUUGACUGCAGCGAAGAUGCUUGGAGCAGGGCUAAAAAAAUGGAGGACCGUGAAAAGCCAGAGGAGGAGGCCAUUGGUAUACAAAAGAAAAUUGUAGAGCAAAACGAGCAGAUGACGGGGGUGCUGAACCAACUAUCACAAGCACUAAGCUCGAUGUCAGAGGUUACGAUUAAAUUGUGCGAAAAAUUAAAUAAAUAAUAACAAAAAUAAAAUACAUAUAUGUACUGAAUUAUUUAAACAUAUGUAGAUGUCUUUUUAUUCAUACUUAGAGGAAGUCAAAUGUACAGAGAGAGUAAGUAACUUACAUAUAUGUAUAUACUUAUAUUUACAGUACACUGGAAAUAUAUCUUCUUCUUUACUGGCGUAGACACCGCUUACGCGCUUAUAGCCGAGUCAACAACAGCGCGCCAGUCGUUUCUUCUCUUCGCUACGUGGCGCCAAUUGGAUAUUCCAAGCGAAGCCAGGUCCUUCUCCACUUGGUCCUUCCAACGGAGUGGAGGUCUUCCUCUUCCUCUGCUUCCCCCGGCGGGUACAGCGUCGAAUACUUUCAGAGCUGGAGUGUUUUCGUCCAUUCGGACAACAUGACCUAGCCAGCGUAGCCGCUGUCUUUUAAUUCGCUGAACUAUGUCAAUGUCGCCGUAUAUCUCGUACAGCUCAUCGUUCCAUCGAAUGCGAUAUUCGCCGUGGCCAACGCGCAAAGGACCAUAAAUCUUUCGCAGAACUUUUCUCUCGAAAACUCGCAACGUCGACUCAUCUGUUGUUGACAUCGUCCAGGCCUCUGCACCAUAUAGCAGGACGGGAAUUUUGAGUGACUUAUAGGAGGAUGGAGUCAUAUGUAGAAGUUCACGCAAGUGAGGAAAGUUCUCUGAUCGCCAUUCACUUGGGAGUGGCCAGAAACGAUUCUUUUACAUAUGACUCAAGCAGCUCACGACUUCCGGUCUUUGACCAAGUAUCCUCUGGGUAGCCUAAGAACAUCCGUUUGAAGGCGAGCUAACGUGAGAAGGCGAAAUAUCCCCUACAUAGGGUUGUGCGCUGGGUUUGGGACCCGCCACGUAAAAAAACAACCCCAGCGAAUAGCAACAACCAGCCUCGGAUGAGAGACCCCCCUUUUGAUGACUGGAAAUAUAUACAUAUGUAUAUUAUAAAGACAUGAUGUAACGUUCUCUUACUUUAGCACCCUCCCUAAAAUUGGGGUUUUCGAAAACAAUUUCGGUGUCUUGUGAUUCUUCUAAAACUUCUUCGAAGCCAAGGUCUGCAGCCACACCAUGCUUCAGUAAAAUGUUGUGAAGAAUUGCACACGCGUAAAUAAUAACAGACGCUUUUUCAGGGCUGUAAUGAAGAAUGCGGUGUUUUGAGAGGCACCGGAAUCGUGACUUCAAAACACCAAAGGCUCUCUCAAUGGUGUUACGUGCUUUGGCGUGCAAUUUAUUGUAACGCACUUCCCUUGCAUUUGAAGGUUCAGCGACUGGCGUGAACAGCCAUGGCGCCAUGGCUCCAAUCCUUGUUUACCUAGCAACCACGAAUCACUUUGCGUGUUAUAGGUACUUAUGAGGUGCAUACGUGUAGGGGAUGUGGGCCAAAUACCAGAAUCAUGGCAUGACCCGCGAUAUCUCGCGUUGACAGCGGUGAACAUAAGUCGAUGAUCACAAACCUGCCAAAAAUGCAAAUAUAUACAUACAUACAUAUGUAUUAACAGAAAGAUUGGCAAAUAGCUUGUAUAAUAUAGAACAUUACCUACUGCUUCUACAUUAAGGCUGUAAAAUCCUUUCCGGUUCAUGAAAAGUGAGAAAGGAGUAGUGGCGUCUGUGCUUGAGGGUGAAACAAUCCCAAUAUGGGUACAAUCGAUUGCGCCGAUUGUGCCCUUGAUCCCAAAUUUCGUGUAAAAUCUUUAAGAGAAAAUUUAUUUAUUUAUUUUUAUUUAUUUAUCUUACCCGUUGUUUGUAUUAAAACAUCCUGCGCGCUUGAAGAGAAAUAAAUUUCACUGCCCUUAAUAUCCACAAUUAAUUUCGAAAUAAAGUGCAGAGCUCAUGCAGAGAGAACCUCACUACAGUGAUGCUUCUCAUUAUAGAGAGGGUUACCUUAUGCUGGCGAAAAUUCAAAAGCUCAAAUGCUCACUAUUAUCACAAAUAUCUGUGACGUGUGAAAGAAGCCAUCAUAAUACAAAACAUCUGUGUUUGUUUUGUUUGACAUCAAUAUUUGACAUUUUUUAAAAAAUUGAGAAUUGAGUGUUAUAAUUAGCGUGCAGGAACUAUUCUUGUAUAUGCGGCAAUUUUUGAGGAGGAGGAAUCGGGGGAUAGGAGGAAAAUUUUGAAGGGUUUACGAGACAAAAGCGAUCCUUUUACUAUGCAAGACACAACAUUUAUUAAUACAUUUCGAUUCCCAAAAUCGCUAUGUAAAUUACUUAUAAGUGAAUCGGUGCCGUAUGAUGUACAGAAGUCGAAUAUAUUUUGUGAUCUACGUUUCUUAGCGUGUUUGUCUUUUUACGGGUAUGGCUCUUAUCAAAAAUGCGUUGGUAAUAGUUAUAUGCUCUCUAUGAGCAGCCCUUGAGGGUUGGUCGUAGUUAGCUUCCCCCGUUGAAACUCAGGAUGCUGCUUGCAAAACAAUAUGUAAUGUUGCAGCUGCUCCUGAGCUAUCCUUUCCGUUUUUGUAAGCCUAGGAAUAUAUGAAAUUAUUGUUUAUAUAUAUAUUUAAAAUUUACAAAAUUACUUACAUACAUACAUAUGCUGAUUAUCCAUUUGCGUGUCCAUUUUUGUUUGCUUAUUUUUAUUAAAACAGCUGUUUGACAGCAAAAAGCUUUUUACCUCACGUGGUGACUUUUUUAAGGUUUUUUCUUAUGAGGUUUGAGCAAAAUAGCCUCACAAAAUAUGCCUCACAAGAAAUCUCUCAAAUUUAUCCUCUCAACUCAGUUGAGAGGUUUUUUCAGAAUAGGGCUGUAAACUAAUAGCCAAUGAAAACUGAAGAGUAACGGGUAGUUUUACAAAAUAGUUCGCAAAGUAGAGCAACGUUUAGGGAAAGGCAGAGAUAUUUUUUUUUUACCCGAGGCUAGAACUAAACUAACCUAUCGGAUAACCCUGCAAGGCGGAGGCAACAGAUUGCACAAACACAUUGAACCAUUUUCAGCUGUUCACUAACACUGUUACAUUUUCUGCAAUUUUUAAUUGCAUGGGAGAAUACGUAAGUAAGAUAGAGAAAAACUAUCGACAUUCUAAACAUAUUGUAAUGGUAACUAGCGAGAAUAGGAGAGACGUAUACCCUAUUUUUCAAGAAAAAGAAAACGAAAAGCGCGGUUUCAAGAAUGAUAAAAACAAAGAUUGCGCAAUGACAAGUUCAAAUUUUGUUCGUUGUUCGUUGUGUUGCAGACAUACAAAAUCAGGAAUAUCAUCAAAAGUUAACAUCAAUAUAAAAAGAACACGAAUGCCGAAAAACGUCGCAGCGAACUGCUACGAAUAAGAACACAAAGCGAGUUGCUGAACACUGGAAACUCGGCGCGAUUCUCCUCUCCUCGUCGCCCCCUCGCCUAUAAACCAAGAGUUGCCGAGACAAAAGUUGCUGCGUGUAAUAAGCGAGUAAAUGUUAAUUUUCUUAAACCUAUGUGCUUCUGGGCGUAAUUUGUGCAUAAGUAUAUGCAAAUCAGUACCAUUGACUUCGUCAAAUACUGAUUGCAAGGCUCUCAUAUGCUCCAUCAACAUAUGUAUCUGUUGGAUAGAACCAUCAAAUAUUGUGGUACCGUCACCAUCGUCUGGCGGCCAUGCAGAUAUAAUCCAGAAGCUGGAUGCCAUUGAGACCCGUCUCACUGCAAUUGAAAAGUCCUAACAGACAAAAUGCCAGAAAAGGCCGAAGUGCAGGCGCAAAGUAAGUUAUUGCGCUAAUGCCGCGUCAUAGCGGCAAAGAUGCACCAUUCAAUUAGCCGAUUCACCGGUGACUUGGAGGACGAGCAUUACGUGGAGCUCGCUUCGAAACUGCCCAUGUCAUCGGAGGAGCACGAGCGCUUCGUGGAAGACAAACUUAAUCAAUAUAAGUUUUUUAUUAUUACUUAUGUAUAAUAGUUUUAAGUUGUAAAUAUUAGUUAUAAGUUAAACAUAUUAGCUUUAAGUUGUAAAUAUUAGUUUUGAGUUGUAUAAAUUAGUUUUAAGUUGCAUAUAUUACUUUUAAGUUGUAUAAAUUAGUUCUAAGAUGUACAUAUUAGUUUUAAGUUGAAGUUUCUAAUUUUACUUUUACAAAUUUGAAUUUUUAGAAUUAUAAUUUUUUUACUGAAAAAACUUAAUUUGUAUUAUUUUUCUGUAAUAAUAAUAUUAGUUUAAGUAAAUAUUUGAUUAUU